UUAAGAGUGCCAGAAGUGGAAUGGGGUUGAUUUAGGGUCUAUAUGUGGUGUUUGCCCUCUUGU
rnacentral:tRNA from 1 species